GUCGAGCGGACUUGAUGGAGUGCUUGCACUCCUGAUGGUUAGCGGCGGACGGGUGAGUAACACGUAGGCAACCUGCCCUCAAGACUGGGAUAACUACCGGAAACGGUAGCUAAUACCGGAUAAUUUAUUUCACAGCAUUGUGGAAUAAUGAAAGACGGAGCAAUCUGUCACUUGGGGAUGGGCCUGCGGCGCAUUAGCUAGUUGGUGGGGUAAUGGCUCACCAAGGCGACGAUGCGUAGCCGACCUGAGAGGGUGAACGGCCACACUGGGACUGAGACACGGCCCAGACUCCUACGGGAGGCAGCAGUAGGGAAUCUUCCGCAAUGGGCGAAAGCCUGACGGAGCAACGCCGCGUGAGUGAUGAAGGUUUUCGGAUCGUAAAGCUCUGUUGCCAAGGAAGAACGUCUUCUAGAGUAACUGCUAGGAGAGUGACGGUACUUGAGAAGAAAGCCCCGGCUAACUACGUGCCAGCAGCCGCGGUAAUACGUAGGGGGCAAGCGUUGUCCGGAAUUAUUGGGCGUAAAGCGCGCGCAGGCGGUUCUUUAAGUCUGGUGUUUAAACCCGAGGCUCAACUUCGGGUCGCACUGGAAACUGGGGAACUUGAGUGCAGAAGAGGAGAGUGGAAUUCCACGUGUAGCGGUGAAAUGCGUAGAUAUGUGGAGGAACACCAGUGGCGAAGGCGACUCUCUGGGCUGUAACUGACGCUGA
rnacentral:rRNA from 1 species